UUCGGCAAAAACCAGUAGCUUUGGCCAACACCCUAUAUAUGCGUUAAGAAAUUCAUCAAUGCGUAUAAAAAGUAAAUUUUGAACCCAGUGAUUAGUGUACUUAAGGUUGCCGUCCUAGAAUCUUAAACCCAGAAAGUUCAAAUCAUGGAUCUGGAUCCCAUUUAAUUCAAGUACUCAAAAUUGGCUUUUAGGACCAAUUAGGAUUUCUCUAGCUUUAGAUGUUUACUAUACAGUUUAUACUGAUGACUCGUAGCAAAGUGUUUAUGCCAACACCAGAUGAAAUUAGAUAUCUUUUUUUUCUCUGAGAGGAAGUAAUGUGUAACCUGUAGAUCUUAUUCCUUUGUUUCAUUUCAAAAAUUUCAAUUUGCUGACGAUUUCACGUGCAAUUGACUUUUGUAACCAUUACAUCUUUCUAGCUGUAUGUACUGAGCAAGAUGUUGUAGUGAAGUAAAGUUGCUAAUAAGUCUUCAGAAUGAUUGCAUGUGCAUGCAGUAGUUUACACAGGAUUUUGUGUAGGCAAUGUCAAUCUAUUGUCAUAAGUCGGUUUGUAUACAUAUUUGGAUGUGAGGCUGUGGGGUUCUAAUGGUUUACUUCUUAACCCGAAUUGAUGUUUACUUUGUACUCC
rnacentral:lncRNA from 1 species